UUUGGGGGGGGGGAGGGUCAAAGUUAUUCACGCCGGUGUGUAGCUGCGGCCAAAUAGCGGUGGAGCUAAGAAGUAACAGCGAUGGAGGUUUACGGCCGAUGCCAGAUUCGUGGAAAGUGUAUUCAAGUAUUCUCGAGGAAUCUCGUAUGAUUUACGAUAAGAGAGAGAGAGAGAGAGAGAGAGAGAGAGAGAGAGACAGACAGAGACAGAGACAGAGACAGAGUUGCCUAUGAAACGGCGAGGAAAAUUAUUUUCGUAUCCGUCCCACUUUCAAGAACCAGUCAACGAUUUACACUCCUGAUACGUCGAUUCCGUGGCCCUUGUGCGACAAUGUACAACAUCCCUCCAUUCCUUAAAAAUGGAAGCAACGAAAAUGCAUUCCGCCUCGGCGGAAUGCGCGCACGUUGCAUAGGAAACGGAGACACUGAUUUCUCCUUUAUUUCUGCUUCGUGGUGAUAUGUCUCGACAGAAAUAUCCCUUGUAUUCGUGAGCUUUGAUAUUCGUAGGUGGACGUAUACGUAUGUAUCGUUUCGAAUAUCGAGAUCUUUUUCUUUGUCAAGCAGUCGUGCAUAUCUUUUUUGAAGAUCUUGAAUUUGGUUUGGUUAGGUAUAUACAAUUUCGAGUAUAUAAGAUCUCUUUCUUUGGUAAGUAGUUGUACAAGACUCUCUUUUGUUGAAGAUCUUGAGUUUGGUUAGAUUAAAUAUGUAUCAUUUUUUUUUUUCCUUUUUCGUUUGUCUCUUUUUCAUCAAGAUUUUUAGGUUAGGUGAAUUUCUUUCUUAAGGAUUUUUUUUUUUCAGUUUCAGGAAUUAAUGUGAACAUGUAAUCGGACACUAAUGUAUUCUUAUGAUUACUGAUAUAUUAUUUAUCCAUUAUGUGAAUUUGAAGACAGAAUAGACUCAACGUGAUCCUUGCAUGUCAUAAAAGACAAUUAAAAAAGAAGCCAUUAAUGAAUACUUGACAAAUUUAUGGAAUAUGCAAUUAUGGUGUAUCUGAACAAAGAUUAAUAAAUAAUUCAAAGUGUGGAAAAACGAAAGGUUCAUCGAUAUCCCCGGCAAUUGUGUCAGAAUUCGACGAUAUACACGCGUUAGCAACAAAAUGGCGACAAGCCGAACUGAUUUUAUUCACGACCUUUGUCGCGGAAGUACUUUAGAUGCGGGUGGUGGGCCGCAGAGGAAAAAUAGCGGAAAGUUUUCCAUUUUAGAUGGGCCACCGAUAAAGGAAAGAGAGGCACGUAUAAUGG